rnacentral:rRNA from 1 species
UACAGGGGAGGAUGCAGCUAGUUAGUCGAAUUACUGGGCGUAAAGCGUGCGUAGACGGUUGCGUAAGUCAGAUGUGAAAGCCCCGGGCUCAACCUGGGAAUUGCAUUUGAUACUGCGAAUCUUGAGUCCGAUAGAGGUGGGUGGAAUUCCUAGUGUAGAGGUGAAAUUCGUAGAUAUUAGGAAGAACACCGGUGGCGAAGGCGCACAUCUGGCCCAAUACUGACGCUGAGGCGCGAAAGCUAGGGGAGCAAACGGGG